CCAGACUCCUACGGGAGGCAGCAGUGGGGGAUAUUGCACAAUGGGGGAAACCCUGAUGCAGCGACGCCGCGUGGGCGAAGAAGUAUUUCGGUAUGUAAAGCCCUAUCAGCAGGGAAGAAGAUGACGGUACCUGAGUAAGAAGCCCCGGCUAACUACGUGCCAGCAGCCGCGGUAAUACGUAGGGGGCAAGCGUUAUCCGGAUUUACUGGGUGUAAAGGGAGCGUAGACGGCAGUGCAAGUCCGGAGUGAAAGCCCGGGGCUCAACCCCCGGACUGCUCUGGAAACUGUACGGCUGGAGUGCAGGAGAGGUAAGUGGAAUUCCUAGUGUAGCGGUGAAAUGCGUAGAUAUUAGGAGGAACACCAGUGGCGAAGGCGGCUUACUGGACUGUAACUGACGUUGAGGCUCGAAAGCGUGGGGAGCAAACAGGAUUAGAUACCCCGUAAUA
rnacentral:rRNA from 1 species